UACGUAGGUGGCAAGCGUUGUUCGGAAUUAUUGGGCGUAAAGGGCGCGUAGGCGGCUACUUAAGUCGGAUGUGAAAGCCCCUGGCUCAACUGGGGAAGUGCACCCGAAACUGAGUGGCUUGAGUACUAAAGAGGGUCGCGGAAUUCCCGGUGUAGAGGUGAAAUUCGUAGAUAUCGGGAGGAACACCGGUGGCGAAGGCGGCGACCUGGGUAGAUACUGACGCUGAGGCGCGAAAGCGUGGGGAGCAAACAGG
rnacentral:rRNA from 1 species